rnacentral:rRNA from 1 species
GACGAACGCUGGCGGCGUGCUUAACACAUGCAAGUCGAACGGAAAGGCCCUGCUUUUGUGGGGUGCUCGAGUGGCGAACGGGUGAGUAACACGUGAGUAACCUGCCCUUUACUUUGGGAUAACUUCAGGAAACUGGGGCUAAUACCGGAUAGGAGCUCCUGCUGCAUGGUGGGGGUUGGAAAGUUUCGGCGGUUGGGGAUGGACUCGCGGCUUAUCAGCUUGUUGGUGGGGUAGUGGCUUACCAAGGCUUUGACGGGUAGCCGGCCUGAGAGGGUGACCGGCGACAUUGGGACUGAGAUACGGCCCAGACUCCUACGGGAGGCAGCAGGGGGGAAUAUUGCACAAUGGGAGGAAGCCUGAUGCAGCAACGCCGCGUGCGGGAUGACGGCCUUCGGGUUGUAAACAGCUUUCGCCUGUGACGAAGCGUGAGUGACGGUAAUGGGUAAAGAAGCACCGGCUAACUACGUG